GGAGUUGUGGCUCAGUGGCAGAGUGCUUGCCUUGCAAGCAUGAGGCCCUGGGUUCAAUUCUCAGCACUGCA
rnacentral:tRNA from 1 species